rnacentral:lncRNA from 1 species
CUCCUUCCCCCUUGUUCCCUAGCAUCGAGAACGUCCUGGCCGAGCUCCGGCCACCGCCUCCGGCGUCGUUGUCGUCCUCUCCGGCAAUCCGAGCCCUCCUGACCCCUCUGCUCGACGCGGCUGAGCACAUGCUCCCUCCCACUGCCCUCAGUGCACCGAAUGGGUGCCGGAAUGCAAGUCCCGCGAGCCCCCGCCAUGUCCUCUGGUCGCCGCCGGCACAUCCCUGGCGUGUUGACGUGGCCGCCCUAAUUAACCACUAAUUAGCCC